rnacentral:rRNA from 1 species
GACGAACCUUGCUAACGUUAUUCGGAAUUACUGGGCUUAAAGCGUGCGUAGGCGGUGCCUCAAGUUUGGUGUGAAAUCUCCCGGCUCAACUGGGAGGGUGCGCCGAAAACUGAGGUGCUCGAGUGUGGGAGAGGUAGGCGGAAUUCCUGGUGUAGCGGUGAAAUGCGUAGAUAUCAGGAGGAACACCGGCGGUGUAGACGGCUUACUGGACCAUUACUGACGCUGAGGCACGAAAGUGUGGGGAGCAAACAGG